UGCAAGCCGAGCGGUAUUGUUUCUUCGGAAAUGAGAGAGCGGCGUACGGGUGCGGAACACGUGUGCAACCUGCCUUUAUCUGGGGGAUAGCCUUUCGAAAGGAAGAUUAAUACUCCAUAACAUAUUGAUUGGCAUCAAUUAAUAUUGAAAGCUCCGGCGGAUAGAGAUGGGCACGCGCAAGAUUAGCUAGUUGGUGAGGUAACGGCUCACCAAGGCGAUGAUCUUUAGGGGGCCUGAGAGGGUGAUCCCCCACACUGGUACUGAGACACGGACCAGACUCCUACGGGAGGCAGCAGUGAGGAAUAUUGGUCAAUGGGUGCAAGCCUGAACCAGCCAUCCCGCGUGAAGGACGACUGCCCUAUGGGUUGUAAACUUCUUUUGUAUAGGGAUAAACCUACCCUCGUGAGGGUAGCUGAAGGUACUAUACGAAUAAGCACCGGCUAACUCCGUGCCAGCAGCCGCGGUAAUACGGAGGGUGCAAGCGUUAUCCGGAUUUAUUGGGUUUAAAGGGUCCGUAGGCGGACUUAUAAGUCAGUGGUGAAAGCCUGUCGCUUAACGAUAGAACUGCCAUUGAUACUGUAAGUCUUGAGUAUAUUUGAGGUAGCUGGAAUAAGUAGUGUAGCGGUGAAAUGCAUAGAUAUUACUUAGAACACCAAUUGCGAAGGCAGGUUACCAAGAUGUAACUGACGCUGAGGGACGA
rnacentral:rRNA from 1 species